GACGAACGCUGGCGGCAUGCCUAAUACAUGCAAGUCGAGCGAAUGACGAAGAAGCUUGCUUCUUCUGAUUUAGCGGCGGACGGGUGAGUAACACGUGGGCAACCUGCCCUGUAGAUUGGGAUAACUCCGGGAAACCGGGGCUAAUACCGAAUAAUCCAUUUCCUCUCAUGGGGAAAUGUUAAAAGACGGUCUCGGCUGUCACUACAGGAUGGGCCCGCGGCGCAUUAGCUAGUUGGUGAGGUAACGGCUCACCAAGGCGACGAUGCGUAGCCGACCUGAGAGGGUGAUCGGCCACACUGGGACUGAGACACGGCCCAGACUCCUACGGGAGGCAGCAGUAGGGAAUCUUCCACAAUGGACGAAAGUCUGAUGGAGCAAUGCCGCGUGAGUGAAGAAGGUUUUCGGAUACGUAAACUCUGUUGUGAGGGAAGAACAAGUACGAGAGUAACUGCUCGUACCUUGACGGUACCUC
rnacentral:rRNA from 1 species